AAAAAUCAUGCUAAGAGCAAUAGAUUUUUCCAGUUCAGAGAUGAUCAUUUCCCAACGGUCUAUGAAGAAAAGCACCCACAAUGUCCGAUUCACCACUUAAC